UCUCCCGAAUGUUUGUAAAAAAGAAAUAUACACAGCUUAUAUUUUUCUACAUACCUAUGAUAUUCCAAAACGGAUAUAACGUGUGAUGUAGCAGGACCUGUCAAGUUUACACGGAUUAUCAGCUUCCGAGUGGUAACGACGGAUUUAUGCGAAUAAUACUCUCGCGAGCGCGGCAAGGGCAUAAAAUGGGCUUCGCCGACGCGCAACAAGCCGUUUACUUCCCCUCCGGUUACCGGAAUAGUUGCUGGCGCCGUGAUGCAGCAACGGCAGCAGCAAAGCCGCGAGCCUUUGCCAUCGUGCCUGAGAAACGCAAGAAACCUUCGCGGAUUCGUUAUAAUUUCAUAUACGUAUUUUAACUGCAGCUCAUGACCAACGUCCUGGGGAUUCAAAGAAGAAAAUUUUUUCUUUCGGAAUUAUUCUCGUUACAAGUGUGCACAUAUACAUGCGCAUAAGGGAUGUUAGAAUACCGGCUGUACAAGGAAGGACACUUAGAAGCUUGGAGCAUCCUACAAAAUCUUACCGCGACGGGCCAGCUUCCGGUUUUGCGGAAACACGCUCGCAACGAUGGCCGAACGAUGUCGUCCAAGAGCUUUUCCACGUUCCCCUGGGCAUCGCGGUAUUAUUGGAUCGGCGCUUGUUCGGCGAUUCCAUCGGCGUUUUCGUGAUUAUUCCGCGGCUUUCUCGAUUUUCCCGUUGGCUGAUAGCGACGACGAAAUAACGGUACAACGAGCGUCAAUGAUAUUUCGUUAAACGAGCAAAAUAUUUGAGAAGCGUCGUAUUCGUAUGCCAAUGCGCAGCUCGACGAACCAACGUUAGCUUUUUAUUAUCACGUAUGCAACUUGUAUUUGUAAUUCUUUUGAUGAAAGUCAAUGAAAAUCAAUCAAGUGAAAACACCAUAUUAUUAAUCCGUCGUUUUCUAAUACUCUUUUCUUUACAGCCUUCUCAUAAUAGAUUUUCUUAGCCUUAGAGUAAUUUGUGCAUCGAACAAUCAAUU